rnacentral:lncRNA from 1 species
CGGAUGUUACAAUGCCUUCUCAUUAGGUAGAGAAGGGGCCUGGCCUGGGUCCCAACUCUGCCAGGUCAGCUUAUCCCAUGAGAGCACCAGGCCUCGGUGUUGACUAGCUGUCUGUAGACAAUAAGGUGCGAUGCCCCCCUACCAGACCUGGUCUGACGAGCCCUCCUGGUAGUGGGUAGGAAGCACGUUCCAAACCUGAGGCCUCUGUGAGCGCACACAGGGAGUAAGCUUCGGUGGAGGGUGACUUGCGAGAUUCGGAGAUAAGAGGAGACUCUGAGCAGUACUCAGGCCCCGAAGGAGGACAGAGGCCAGGGCAGCCACAGCGGACGGGCAGAGGAAGCGCCGCUCUUGCCCAAGGGAAGCCCCUCCACCUCGAAGUCCCUCAACCAACGGAAGUGGAGCCGAAACCACCAAGUGCCUUGGACAGGGUCUCGCUAUGCAGUUCAGGCUGGCCUUGAGCUCACUUUGUAGCCCAGGCUGGUCUCAAACUCAAAACGAUCCUCCUGCCUCAGCCUCCUGAGUGCUAGGAUUACAGGUGUG